UCUAAGGCCAUAUUCGUCACAUUUUUUAAAAUAUUCUCUAAGUCUACUUCUACGGUUUGAAUAAAAAAGCGAAUUAAGAGCAAAUUUAACUUUUUCAAUUUCUAUGUUUAAAAUUCUCAUACCAUCUCCAACAAUUAAAUGAUAAAUAUGGCAUAUACAUCUAACAUGGAUUAAUAUUCGCAUACCAUCACCAACAAUUAAAUAAUAAUAUGACAAAUACAUCUAACAUGGAAAAUAUU
rnacentral:lncRNA from 1 species